CCACGAACUGCAAGAUCAUGACCUGAGCCGAAGUCAGACGCUUAACAGACUGAUCCACCCAGUAAGGGAAGGUCGAAGUUUGGAUCAAACAAUGGAAAUGGAAAAGAGGAAUUCUUACCAAAUCUGCAACCAGAAGCCGCAGACAGAGCCCCGCCUGCUGCCGUGAUGAGGGGACAUUCACGACACUGGUCCCCAGGAAGUGACCUUUUGUGCCGGCCCUUUGCAGAUGGCCGCUGGCAGUCCCAUGCUCUGGAUGGCGAGGACAGUGAUGGAUGAGCACCAGCUCCCAGGACCCACUGCCAGAACCCCCAGAGGUGCCGUCUCACAUGCUGAUUAGCUAGACAAGUUUCCAGCUCCAGGAAGACCCUCCUGCCCAACUAGCCCCAUAUACACAGUUAGCACUGACUGAGAGAUAAAUACACAUCAGUCCCGUCGUCAGGCACCAUGGGUCUAGUCGGUGGAGGGAGAUUGUGCAGUUGAGGCAGUAGGGCCCACGGCGCAAGUCAGCACAGGCUCUGAGCGGUGGGGGCUGUGGGGUGGAGUCGUCAGUUCUGCCUUUGGUGGAAGCGGAGGCUCAGAAAAGUUACCCGGAAGUGACUUUUGGGUCGAAUUAUGAGAAAGGAGUUGAGAAACACCAGGCCCCAAGACGAAGGAGCGAUGAUGGCCCUGGACCAUGGGCAUGAAGCAGGUGCUGCCUUCAGGGGGCCUGUCAAUAGCUUAGUGUGGUUGGAUAGUGGUAGCAUCUGCGUAUGUGUGUGUGUGGGGGGGGGGCCUUCAUCAGGGAUCGUGACGGGUGGGGAGCAGACAGACAGCAACAGGAGGCGGGAUCACGGGGGGGGGGUUCAGUGCCACAGCAAACAAUUCAGAUUCUAUUCUAGUGACCCUGGCAAGCUAGUUGAUGGCCUUUCAACUUUGUAAAACGUUUUUCACUUGACGUAAUUUUGGACUUCCGAGAGAGUUGCAAAGAUAGCACUCAGUUCCCGCACACCCCUCCUCUGACUCCGUCUAAUGUCCACAUCUGUGUGAGGCUGGCACACACGACAAAGACAUUAACCCUGGUCUGGUAUUAUUAGCUCAGCUACAGAUGAGUCAGAUUUCAUCAGGUUCACACGUAUGUCCUUUUCUGUAGCGGGAUCCCGUGAGGGGCUCAUGACCUUUUCGUCCUCGUGCUCCCCCGUCCUUCAUAACUUGUUCAUCUCCCUGACGUGUUUGGAGACUAUUGGUCAGGUAUUUCAUAAAAUGGCUUUCCCUCCCCUCCCCUCCCCUCCCCUCCCCUCUCCUCUCCUUCCUUCUUUCAUUUUUGAGCACUUUCUUACCUCAUGGCACCACAAAGUGCUCCAGACUCACGUCGCGUUGUGCUUCCUUUGCCCCUCGCUAACUUUGCUUUCUGAGCAGUGAGUGGCAUGACUGAAAUCCCCUGACGUGACAAGAUCCGUGUUGAAAAGAUCCCCUAUGCAGAGGAUGGACGGGUGUGGAAAGGUGCGACUGUGGCACUGAUCGGGCUGGAGAUGAAGAAGCUGAGGCCAAGUCAGCGGCAUCAAGGGAGGAGGAACCGGGGGUGCUGGGGAGGAGGGGAGGAGGUGGCUGUAUGUGACGAACAGGUUUCUGUGAUGAUGGGUGGACGCGUGGUUGGUUCCUGGGACAGGAAACACGGGAAGGGGUUUGGCUUUGCUCUUUUGGCUUCCAGUGGCAGUGUCACCACACCCGUUUUCGGUGCUCUUCUUCUGGGCUCUUUCUGUGUUGUCUCCUUGGUUCUCGGGAUCUUCUCCUUUCUUAGCACAACUUCCCUGAGUUGCCUCACUUCUUGCAACUGGGAUACUCACGGCUCACGUAGCCCUUUGUGCCUGAGAUUUGCAAGGAUGACCUCCUUUCUUGCCCUGCCAGGCACCGUUGUAGACAACGGGAGGCAACUGUCACGGCCAGCUAACCGCUCUCCUGAAGCUGGCAAUUCUAGGACACGUAAUAAACAAGUGAACCAAUGAACAGCCCAGAGCAUUCUAGCUAGUGGAAUAAGCGUGAUGCCGGGCACACAGUGAAGUAAUCUGAAGGAAAGGGACUGAGGAUGGGAGAGGGCUAACCUUGACUGAGAGGUCACUGCAAGUCCCGUUAAAGAGGGGCAUUUGAGCCAAGAUCUGCAGGGAAGAGCCAGCCAUAUAACUAUCCAAGGAGAGAACAUUUCAGACAAGGGACUGGCUCGUGCGCAGCCCCCAAGAAGAAGGUGCACAUUAUAGGAACAGAGAGAAAAUCCACGUGGCUGAAAAAUGGUGGACCGGGUGGGAGACAGCAGGUGAGAUCAGAUGGGAGACAUUGCAGGUGGACUGGUUGGCCGUAGGAGGAUGACGAGUUAUAUUUGAGGGGGAGGAGAAAGCCAUCGAAGACUUCCUCGAGGAAUAACCUGAUCUGAUCUAUGCUUUUAAAAAUUCUCUCUAGGGGCGCCUGGGUGGCUCAUUCGGUUAAGCGUCCAACUUCAGCUCAGGUCACGAUCUCGCGGUCCGUGAGUUC